AGUUGGCUAGAGCACAUGGUUCAUACCCAUGGUGUCGGGGGUUCAAGUCCCUUUGCCGCUA
rnacentral:tRNA from 1 species